ensembl:misc_RNA 7SK 7SK RNA
GGAUAUGAAGGCUAUCUGGCUGCGAUAUCUGUCACCCCACUGAUCACCAGGGUUGCUUCAGCUGAUUGGGCUGGCUAGGUGGGUGUCCUCUUCCUCCCUCACCAUUCCAUAUGUGUUCCUCCCUCUCAAAGCUGCUUGCUGGGGUCAAGAUGAAGACCACGCCUGACAGAGGAGGACCAUUUCCUCAGUCAAGUAGCUGUGCUCCCCUGCUAGAACUGCCAAACAAGCUCUCAUAGAAACAGGCACCAGAGUCACCAUCCUAAAGCUGCACUCUACAGCUAUCCUCUUA